AGUGAACGCUGGCGGUAGGCCUAACACAUGCAAGUCGAACGGCAGCACAGUAAGAGCUUGCUCUUACGGGUGGCGAGUGGCGGACGGGUGAGGAAUACAUCGGAAUCUACUUUUUCGUGGGGGAUAACGUAGGGAAACUUACGCUAAUACCGCAUACGACCUACGGGUGAAAGCAGGGGAUCUUCGGACCCUGCGCGAUUGAAUGAGCCGAUGUCGGAUUAGCUAGUUGGCGGGGUAAAGGCCCACCAAGGCGACGAUCCGUAGCUGGUCUGAGAGGAUGAUCAGCCACACUGGAACUGAGACACGGUCCAGACCCCUACGGGAGGCAGCAGUGGGGAAUAUUGGACAAUGGGCGCAAGCCUGAUCCAGCCAUACCGCGUGGGUGAAGAAGGCCUUCGGGUUGUAAAGCCCUUUUGUUGGGAAAGAAAAGCAGCAGGUUAAUACCCCGCUGUUCUGACGGUACCCAAAGAAUAAGCACCGGCUAACUUCGUG
rnacentral:rRNA from 1 species